AUUUAAAAGAUUUGGCAUCUCAGUCUGAAUUGGUGGAGAAGCUGGAGCUGACUCAGGGGUCCCUGGGCCUGAGAUGAGGCUGGGGCCAUGGGAUUCUCUGACUCCUGGACAUACAGACACCCUCUGGGAGUCUCAGAUGAGCAGAGAACAGAGUCAGGGCCAGCAGGCUGGAGACUGGCAUAGGGGAUGGAGAACUCCAGCUUGGCUCAUGCAGGUGUUUUUGCUGCAUGUAUGUCUGUGCCUGUGGAGGCCAGAAGAGGGGAUUAGAUCUAUGAGGAUUGGUCCAAGCAAGCAUAGAAUGAACCCCAUGGAGCUGUGAGCAAGAUCUUUUAUUUCCUAAGUUUUUCUGUCAGCACCUGGUGACUGUGAAAAGACAAAUUAGCCAACACAAUCAUUAUUAAUCACCCCACCCCUCACUACCCCCACCAUCACUACCACCAUCAUUAUCAUUAUUAUCGCCACACUCACUGUAGUACACUUAUUAUCACCAUCAUUAUCACCAUCAUUAUCACCAUCAGCAUAACUACCCUCAC
rnacentral:lncRNA from 1 species